UAAUACUGAUGAUGAAAUGUUGAGCUGAAAAUUUAUGAUGUUAUAUAUUUAACGAGCUUUUUAACACUGACACAAA